rnacentral:rRNA from 1 species
CCUACGGGAGGCAGCAGUGAGGAAUAUUGGUCAAUGGACGAGAGUCUGAACCAGCCAAGUAGCGUGAAGGAUGACUGCCCUAUGGGUUGUAAACUUCUUUUAUAAAGGAAUAAAACGAGGCACGUGUGCCUUUUUGCAUGUACUUUAUGAAUAAGGAUAGGCUAACUCCGUGCCAGCAGCCGCGGUAAUACGGAGGAUCCGAGAGUUAUCCGGAUUUAUUGGGUUUAAAGGGAGUGUCGAUGGGUGGUUAAGGCAGUUGUGAAAGUUUGCGGCUCAACCGUAAAAUUGCAAUUGAUACUGGCAGUCGUGAGUACAGUUGAGGUAGGCGGAAUUCGUGGUGUAGCGGUGAAAUGCUUAGAUAUCACGAAGAACCCCGAUUGCGAAGGCAGCUUACUAAACUGUGACUGACAUUGAUGCUCGAAAGUGUGGGUAUCAAACAGGAUUAGAUACCCGAGUAGUC